rnacentral:lncRNA from 1 species
AAAAAGCAUUUAGAUCAAUGUCAGCAUAAAGGAGACUGGACUGCAAAACAGAACUGUGUGCAAAGGGAAUUUGUUGAAAUAAACAGGCUGCACCCUCUGGGACAGAGAAGCAUGGUCACCUGGGAAGGAGAGAAAAGGGAGCUUGGGUCACUCCAGUAUCAGCAGCCAGCUCAGAAAUGUAGACCUGCACAAAAUAAUACCCAGGCAGCUAUGAGAAUAUCUGUUGCAGCCAAGAGGGCACCCUGCCUUCUCUUUUCAUAUCCAGUGAAGACUGUCCCUCUCCGUGACACCAUGGCUGGAGGAAGUGGAUACACCGUGCCUGCUGCAUCUGAGGGCUGAAAUGCAAGAUCUUCAAAGAUGGAAUCUGGCUCUGUCACCCAGGCUGGAGUACAGUGGUGCGAUCUCGGCUCACCUGCAACCUCCGCCUCCUGGGUUCAAGCGAUUCUUCCGCCUCAGCCUCCUGAGUAGUUGGAACUACAGGUGUGCACCACCACGCCCGGCUAAUUUUUGUAUUUUUAGUAGACACGGGGUUUCCCCAUGUUGGCCAGGCUGGUCUCGAACUCCUGACCUCAUGAUCUGCCAGCCUUAGCCUCCCAAAGUGCUGGGAUUACAGGCAUGAGCCACUGCGCCCAGCCUAAACCAGUGUCAGUCUUAAGUGAAAAGUGCUUGUAUGAUUGAGACUAAGUGAUUUGGGGAUUGGUGAGUAAGCCAAUAUGGGCAGAGUUGAUUGUGAAUAAACCAAUGCCCAAACAACACAUUUCCUCUAAUAUUUCUCCUACUCAAAGAGUUAUAUGCCCAACUUUAUCCUAAGGGCCUUUGUGAAAGUAGAGGUAAUGACUCAUCUGGUAACUUAAUUUCCUAGUGGGUCAUCAUUUCAAGGGCCCCCAAGACCACCCUCAUGUUUAGUGAUUUGCUAGAAGGAUUCAAAGGACUCAGAAGUAAAUGUAUUCACAGUUACAGUUUCUUGCAGCGAGAGGACACAAAGCAAAACCAGCAAAAGCAAAAUCAGAUACAAAGCAAAAUCAGCUACAAAGCAAAAUCAGCACAUGGGGCAAAGCCCAAAGGAAACCAGACAUAAGCUUCCAGGGUCCUCCCAGUAAAAUGGCACAGGAUGCACUUAACAGAGCCUACGGUUUUUAUUGGGGACUGGUCAUAGAAACCCUCUGCCUAGCACAUAUAAAAUUUCAGACUUCCAGCAGGACAGUGGUAUUCAGCAUAAACCAUAUUGUUUGUACAAACAGUCUAGGCACAGUAAACCAUCCUUAUCAAUUACGGAAUGGUAGGAAGACUCCUGAAAGCCAAGUUCCCAGAUGCUAGCCGUGGGUCAACCUUGCAAGUAGGCCUUUCUGAGGUCUGCUGUCUCAGGGCUGCUAUGUUAGCUCUUUUUCAUUACAGUCACCCAGAGAUCCCCCUCUGCAGCUUCUCCAUCACCACCACUGACCUUAGAGUUGUUCUGGAUUCUGUUGUAUAAGUUAUGGUCUUGGAGACCCUAUAAAGGACUGCAGGAUUUCUGGUUCUGUUCAGUUUUGCCAUCUAUACACAAGAAGUUCUCAGAAACAUAUGUGUUGAACAAAUGAGCUGUUUAAAAAAAAAGGGGUGCUUUAAAAACUGAAAAAAAUACUCCAAAAUAUUAAGAAGGGAUGAUGUUAUUACGUAUAACUUUUAUUUCUAUUUGUAUAUGCUUUCCAAAUUUUCUAGAAUAAACACAUUCUAUUUUUAUUAUUAGAAAAUAAGUAAAACAAAUAUUAGUUUCCAACAAAUCUGCUAAACGAUGCUCCUGCAGAUUAGAUGCCCAAUCCGCAAGGUUGAGCCAAGAUCCACUGGAUAACUUUGACCCCCCAGGGAUAUUUUUAGCCACAGACAUUCUGAGUGAGGCCCACAUCACAAAGCGUUUGUUUCUUAGGACCCAGACUUAGUGUUGCUCCUUUUCAUACAGUCUUCAUAGCUUAAGCUCAUGAAACACGGUGGUCAAUGCUUACAACAAACUUGCCAACUUAUUAAAUAAAAAAUUAGAAGAUUCACUGAUUUUUCCUGGUUUCUAGUGGUAAUGGCUACAAACUAUGAGUGCCACAAUCAGCUUUUAACCAUCUGCACAGAUAGGAAGAAAAUUUUUUAAUUAAAAAUUACUUUCCAAGCCUAUUGUCCUGGGGUUAAUAUUAAUAAUUAGUUUGCAGGAUGAGGCAUUCUAAAAAGAUUCUAGAUAGCAGUAAAAAACUAUCCUGCAAGUUUUUAUAUCUGUCAUGAGCAAUGAAAUGGUUUAUAUUGUUACCACUUAUUAUAACUUAUGAUAACUAAUCAAGAUUCGACAUUAAUAAAUAACAUAAAUACAUAAAUAAAAUUAUCAGUACCCAGCUACUCUAAAUAAUGUCAUCCCUCUUUCUUUCUGGAUUUCUAGUCAAAUUCACUUUCUUCAUUACUUCAAAUACUUUACUUCUAAAGAACAGUACAUCUGUACCCAAACAACAUUUUUCACAUACAGAAGAAAAUGCAUUAAAACUUAUAUAUCAGAUCUAGCAGUUAUAUUUCCAACAGAAAUGAGGACAUGCAUGCAAUAAAAAACAUAUACAGGCCAGGCAUGGUAGCUCAUGCCUGUGAUCCCAACACUUCAGGAGGCCAAGGUGGGUGGAUUGCUUGAGCCCAGGAGUUCAAGACCAGCCUGGGCAAUUUGGUAAAACCCCAUCGCCACGAAAAAUACAAAAAAUUAGCUGGAUGUGGUGGUGCAUGCCUAUAAUCUCAGUUACUCAGGAGUCUGAGGCAUGAGAAUGGCUUGAACCCAGGAGGUGGAGGUUGCAAUGAGCUGAGAUCACACCACUGCACUCUAGCCUGGGCAACAGAAUGAGACUGUCUUGAAACAAAACAAAACACGUACAAAUAGGUUUAUGGCAGCUUUGUUCAUGAUAACUCCAAACUGGGUGCAACCCAAAUGUCCAUCAGCAGCAAAAUGGAUAUAUAAAAUUGUGCUUUGGGAGGCCGAGGCGGGCAGACUGCGAGGAAAGGAGAUUGAGACCAUCUUGGCUAACACGGUGAAACCCCGUCUCUACCAAAAAUACAAAAAAUUAGCUGGGCGUGCACACCUGUAGUCCCAGCUACUCAGGAGGCUGAGGCAGGAGAACCGCUUGAACCCUGGAGGCGGAGGUUGCAGUGAGCCAAAAUCGUGCCACUGCAUUCCAGCCUGGGCAACAGAGCGAGACUCCAUCUCAAAAAAAAAGUGCUACAUUAAUAUAAUGGAAUACUACAUAAUGAUGAAAAUGUAAGAAAUUUGGCAAGAACAUAAAUGAAACUUACAAUGUUGAGUAAAUGAAGUCAGACAAAUAGAGACAUACUGUAUAAUUCCAUUUAUACAAAGUUUAAAACUGGCAAAAGUAAUCUGCCAUAUUGGAAAUCAGGGUAGCAAUCACCCUUAGGAGACAGUGACAGGAAGCAGGCACAGGAGGGGCUUCUGAGCUGCUCAUAAUGUUCUGUAGCUCAGUCUGGCUACGGAGCAUGAGUCAUCAUCCAUUUGGAGAAAUUCAUUGCGACGCAAACUUAAGAUUUCCACACAUUUUAAUAAGUAUGUUUUACUGAUAGAAAAAUAUUACCCUCUCCAAAAAAGAGGGUUUACAAAGAGCUUACACAUAAAAAGACAUCAUUUAUUAAAGUUCUUUUAGCCUCUUCCUCUCCCUCUCCCUCUCCCUCUCCCUCUCCCUCCCCACGGUCUCCCUCUCCCUCUCUCUCCACGGUCUCCCUCUCCCUCUCCCUCUCCCUCUCUCUCCACAGUCUCCCUCUGAUGCCGAGCCGAGGCUGGACUGUACUGCCGCCAUCUCCGCUCACUGCAACCUCCCUGCCUGAUUCUCCUGCCUCAGCCUGCCGAGUGCCUGGGAUUGCAGGCGCGCGCCGCCACGCCUGACUGGUUUUUGUAUUUUUUGGUGGAGACGGGGUUUCGCGGUGUUGGCCGGGCUGGUCUCCAGCUCCUGACCGCGAGUGAUCUGCCCGCCUCAGCCUCCCGAGGUGCCGGGAUUGCAGACUGAGUCUCGCUCACUCAGUGCUCAAUGUUGCCCAGGCUGGAGUGCAGUGGCGUGAUCUCGGCUCGCUACAACCUUCACCUCCCAGCCGCCUGCCUUGGCCUCCCAAAGUGCCGAGAUUGCAGCCUCUGCCCGGCCGCCACCCCGUCUGGGAAGUGAGGAGCGUCUCUGCCCGGCCACCCAUCGUCUGAGAUGUGGGGAGCGCCUCUGCCCCGCCACCCAUCGUCUGGGAUGUGGGGAGCGCCUCUGCCCCGCCACGACCCCGUCUGGGAACUGAGGAGUGUCUCUGCCCGACCGCCACCCCGUCUGGGAGGUGAGGAGCGUCUCUGCCCGGCCGCCCUGUCUGAGAAGUGAGGAGCCCCUCCGCCCGGCAGCCACCCCAUCUGGGAAGUGAGGAGAGUCUCCGCCCGGCAGCCGCCCCGUCCGGGAGGUGGGGGGCAACUCCGCCUGGCCGACGCCCCGUCUGGGAGGUGGGGGGCGCCUCUGCCCGGCUGCCACCCCGUCUGGGAGGUGUACCCAACAGCUCAUUGAGAACGGGCCAGGAUGACGAUGGCGGUUUUGUCGAAUAGAAAAGGGGGAAAUGUGGGGAAAAGAAAGAUAAAUCAGAUUGUUACUGUGUCUGUGUAGAAAGAAGUAGACAGAGGAG